GAAGACUUGGCCAUGCAAGCAAGGGGAGUUUACUUUCAACUAGGGAAAAUUUCCUAGCAGCAGCAGAAAUAAGGCAAAGUCCCCUGCCAGCACCACUCCCAACUCAGGUCCCACAGCCCUGUCCUCCCCAGGUGCCUGAGCCCUGUCUCCCACCCUUCAUACAGUAGAAGUCCAGCUGUUAAUACCACUUAUGCCAGCAAGACUGCGCAGCAAAGCAGAAAUGACCCUCAGAAGCCACCUUCUCUGACCUGGACAAGAGGAUACUGCAUCCCCCGCCCACUUCCAUCCCCUUACUUCCAGCAAUAAUAGGGACCACCACACAACCUAGAAGAUGCUACCUGUCUUCAGAUUCAAGAUGGAAGAUAUUGUCAUAGUCUACUGGGGUCUCCUCCCUGAAUCUACAGCCCCUCCCAGCUUUUCACCCAGGAGACAACAUGGUUUAGACAGAGUGCCACGUUUUCAAACCUUCCACCUGUGAUCCAAAUAUGCCAUAUUUCCACCGGCUACCUUCUCUACCACACUGCCUUCUGCUGGCUAUAUGAGAUUCCUGCAAGAACACAGAACAUUCACAUCUCUGCCUCAAUGGAAUUCAAAAACUUCAUUAACGUUUCUAGGAGCAAACAUUGUUUAAAAAAAUUAACACAUGAAAACUGCUUAAAUCAAUGAAAAAUUUGCCAGAAUUCUUUACAGCACAACUCCACAUUCUUUGAUGAAGACAAUCACAUUGUCUGUUUGUAUUUUCUCCCUAAUAAUCUCCAUAAAUCCUAACAAAGCUCACCCCUUCCUCUGGACUUUGAACCUAUUCCAAGACCUAUGAUGUUUUUUUUUUCUCUCUCUGCUUCCCAAUCAAACAUAUGUAUCCCUGACUGGUCAUGUCUCUGCUCUUUGCUGGAGAUGUAAAAAAGUCAAGAGAGACAAAGUCACAGAGAGACAAAGGACAAAUGGAGGAAAGUGGAGACUGAAUGGUAAAUCCUUGGAAGGACCCUAGAGGCAAUCAGGGGCCACCCAAGAGUGACAAGGGGACCUGGUUCAAGUCAGAAGGUCUUCUUUUUCCCUCUGGUUGCCCAGUCUCAGUCUCUGAUUUCAGCUGCCUCCAGACCCACCUCUACAUGAGGCACCUAUCCAUUUCUGAUUAGGGACUCGCCAUGCAAGGAAGGUGAGGAGAGUACACAAAGGAGCCAUCAGUGUCAGGGCUGCAGGAGGGAUGAGCAUGUGACAGGCCCUGCAAGGUUCAUAGAUGUGUGAGUGCUCAGCAUCUGGGACCAGAAUUGUGAGCCUGGCUCUGCACAGAGCCCAGUCUGUUGGGGAUGGACCCCAGAGACAGUUAUUACUGCAGCAGUUCUCACACUACUUGGCCUUGAAAAUAAUUUACACACUUAAGAUUAUUAAGGACCCUAAGUAGAUUUUAUUCAUGUGAUUUACAUCUAUUGAUAUUUCUUGUAUUAAAAAUUAAAACUAGAAAAUAACACAUUUUACAUAAGUAGAUAUUGCACUAGCUGGCAGAGUGAUGAUGUCAUUGCAUAUCAUCUACUCUCCGGAAAAUUCUACCAUAGACUAAUGAAAAAAUAUGAGUAAAAAAGUCAAAUAAUGUCAGCAUUAUGAUUAAAAUUGUUUUGAUCUCACUGACCCUACUGAAUGCAUCUCAGGGACCCCAAGGUUCCCACACCACACUUUGACAACCACUGGUCUAGGGCAUGAUUGUAGGCCAGGUCUCCAGGGUCUCAGAGCACAACACACCACAGUAGCACAAGUCUCAAAGGGUUGAGGACAUUCUCCUUGGUCUCAGCUUACUUGUGGGUUUUAUUUAUGCCUGUUGUUUAACUAUCCAGCUAAAUUAAGUUCUGACCUUUAAUUCAAUAAUCAUUAAUCAGAACCAAUUUAGCACUGCUAAAUUGAGUUCUGUACCAUUAUUCAACAACCAUUGACAACAACAGCUAGAAAGCAUCUAGUUUAUAAAACCUGAAGACAAAGAGAAUAAGACACUGAGGCUCACUAGAGAAGCCUCCUCGGUUGUCUCCUGCAGCAGUGGGGACACACAUGUGCUGCAUGAACCAUUAGGCUGAUCUGACGAGGGCUUCUAUUAGGCACAGAGGGCAUGUGGGAUGAUGUAUUGAAUGUAUGUCUUCAUAAGGGACAGCCUUGAAUUAUGUGCAGGCUUGUGGAAGCUGAGGAAGAAGGCAGAGCAGAGGAUGUCUCCUGGGUUCCUAUCUGGGUUUCUUCCUUGGGUUCCUAAGUGCAACUGGCAGGAGUUUCCUUGGGAGCUAAUCAUAUUCAGUGAUUAUGGAAGUUUGAAUCUAAUCAUAUUAUAUCCCAGUUCUCCUCCCACCAGCCACACAAUAGCCUCUCCCUUAUUUCCAUGGAGGCAAAACCACAUCAUAGUCAAUUGAAAAAUAUACCUGAAGGAUAAAAAAUUUCAAGAACAAUCAAGAGUGGAGAUGGAAGAGAAAGGAUAAGAACUAAUUUUAUAGUAGGAUUGGGAAGGUCCCCCCAAAUUGCACCCACUUCCCUUUUGCCUAGUCAAGAUUAUAGGUUCCUGGGUCCCUUCACUGUGCACAGGAAUGUACCUGCUGGUUGAUUUCAGACUGAAACAAAGAGUAGAGCUUCUGGUUCUUGUUCUAAAUCUUGUUAUUAAACUCUUCUCCUGGGCCUAAAUUUUUCUCAAGCUCUUUGCAUUGUAGGUAUGUAGAAUAUAUUUUUCUCUACAAUUUCCACAGCUUAAAGUCUUUUUGUUUAAGUUUAGCAGGCAGAAUUUCUUAAAUAAACUUUAAGCUGACACUACUGCCUGUGUAGGUAAGAACCCCCAUCCAUCAUCCACUGUCCGGCCCCAAACCACUGAUGUGUUUCUAGCACCACCACCUGGGAACUGGUGGUAUCAAAAGAUCAGAGCUACCUGGGCUAUGCCUUGGCAAGGAGCACAAGGUGCGUCCUUUGUGAGGCACACACUAGGACUAGGUUUCCAUUUCUUUAUUUUGAGAGAUUAGGUAAACCUUCUCCUUGUCCGCUGACCAGCCCAGGAAGUCUUGGUGGUGAAGAGAAGAAAAGGAUGUAGCUUUUCUUACAUCCAAUAAGAUAAACAAAUGCAGCUAGAGGACAAAAGACUGGAUAAACUGCCACAGGAUGGUCGAUAUGCAUUGACCUAGAAAGAGACAGAAUCCCCUCUACAUCAUUCCUGGAGGUGACAGCUCCCCAGGAGGUUUUCUGUGACCCACUCACCCCCACCGAUCAUCCAAAUGGAUUUCCACAGCACGCUGAACAAACUUCAGCCAUAUUUCCCCACACUUAGCUCUGUGCCUCAACAUCAGUGACCACACUCACUCUUGCCUAGACUGCAGAGUAUUUGUCCAGGUUGCUCUGUAUCUUCAUUCCCUAUGCUGCCCUCAAACAUGUGCAUGCACACACACUCACACGCACACACAUGCACACAUGAGGACACAGGCAUGCAUAUGCACACACAGGGUCUAGCCUCUGGGAGAGGCUCAAUGACUUUAAACUUCAUUUAAUCCUAAAGAGCAGAGCUAGAGGUGGUGUGAGUUAAUGUUAAGCGAUUUCAUUUCAAGUCUCCGAAAGAGAUGGUGGGAUUGGGGUGGGGGCAUAUGAAAGAUGCUAAACACCCAGCCCAGGAAUCCUUAUAGAAGAACUGUUUCCUGGAGAUGAGGAGCUCAGCAAGUCCAUUCUGCUUGUCUCCUCUCAGACACCAGGAAGUCCCAAAGACCUGAGGUGCUGCUGAGUAAAUUAGACCUGCCUCCAUAUCCCUUUCUCUCACUCCCACAUCUCCAUCCAGGGCAGCUAUCAAACUGGAACCCCACUGGGGGCUUAGAGCAAUCAUACCUCCUCAGGUCUAUGAGGGCUGCAUGGACACCAGAGCCCCUUGCACACUUCCUGGCCACCAUGCUCCAGCCCACAAGAUGACAGCUGUAGAUGAAGAAACCAAAGACACAGAUCACAGACAUGAUUCUCUUCGACCUGAGCUGGAACUUAACUUUCUUGGAUCCCAUGCUUUGCUCCUCCUUCUGCAUCAUCUUGAGCUUGUACCCAGGCUAGGGUAAAAAAGGCCUGGGAAUUUUACUCUUUCUGAUGUUCAAUUCUGAUUCAAUGAUACAAUGUCAAACUGACAUG
rnacentral:lncRNA from 1 species